GUUUUGACGUCUCUUGUCAUAUUUGAAUGCAAGAACUAAGAGGAAUUUACCUAAUUUUAUAAGGAAUAUUUUAAUAAUAUUGUUAUUGAUACAAAUAAUCCGCAAUCAUGUGUCGCACAGCAAAUGCAAUGAUACAGAGCUUAAUAUGCGCCUGUCAAAUGUUAGUGAGAGUGUUCAUGGUCUCUAUAAUGAUGCUGGAGAAUUUACUCAAACUUAUCUUAAAUUCAUUCUACAACUUCGUGUCUAUAAUACUACAGAUGAUAUCCUUGUUGCCAAUUUGCUUUGUGUUCGUUGUAACUGCAAAGGUGAAGUCCAUGGUAUGUGGCGGCGGGGGUGGGGGUGGCACGGCACAAAGCGCCGGUUGUGAUGCAGUGAUGGCUAUAAUAAGCAUGUUAGUGAUAUACUCUCUUUUGAAAUCCACUGGAAUGCUUGAUAAAAUUUUAGAAAACAUGGGAUACACUAGGAGAAGCUAGAUAUCCUGCUUAUGAAGAUUUUCACAUGCAGAUACUCAAAUAAUUCUUAUUUGAGCAGGAUUAACAGAACAUACGAUUAUCGUUUAACAUUUUAUGAGCAAUUUUAAGGAAUAUUUCUAGUUAAUUUUAGCUUACCUAUUGUAUAAUGUUUAUUUUGUAGGUGCAUAUUACAUAAAUGGUAUUAGAAUAUGA